GUGUGUGUGUGUGUCUGUAUGCAUGUAUGUCUGUAUGUAUGUAUGUGUCUUUAUGUCCUCAUGCAUGUGUGUCUGUAUGUAUGUUAGUAUAUGUCUGUCUGUCACUAUGUAUGCCUGUGUGUAUGCCUGUAUGCGUGUAUGUCUGUUUCAGUAUGUGUGUCUGUUAGUAUGUAUCUGUGUCCUUUUGUAUUCCUGUGGGCGGUAUUUGGAGGCGGACCCAGUGGGUGGUAUUUGCAGACCCUGAG